rnacentral:lncRNA from 1 species
AUGGUCUCUCAUCAUGCCUCCCAAAUAUUCUUUUUAAUUGUUGUGAAAAUUUAUAUUCAACUGAAGACCAGACUGUGCAUCAAAGAACCUAGAAGUAUGUACUUCCAAGGCUACAUAUUUUCAAAGGAAUUUAAUUCUGACCUCUGGACGCAAUGGAGCAGUUUCUCUGCCCCUCUACUUCGGGGAAGGCAGAAAGGAAGAAGGGAUGAUUCAAACCUGUUGUUCUGCCAAAAGUCCUCCACGAUUCCGAUUUCUAGUGAGUGCUCAGAGAAUCUGCCCGAAACCUGUGCCCUCCUUCCAUGUCAGAUAAGCAGAAAGUUUGCUCCAGCUAUGAUCAAUCUGCACAACGCAGAGAUGUUUUUUUGGCAUAAAGCGUACGCUAGAAAGCGGAUGGUGAUUAAACUCGCCCCCAUCCCCACCCCCCCCCCCCUUCUUGCGGCCGGCUGGGGAGUGUGUUUUGCUUGCAUUGAAGAAAUGUCCUUCAGCUGCAGGCGUGUGCGUUUUUGCGUCUCGGGGACAGGACGACGCGGGCCGGCUGAGUGUCACCCACAGAUGUGCUCGGUCUUGCCCCGCGGAGACGGCGGUCCCCUUCCUCUCCCCGGGCCGUCUCCAGCCCGAGGCCCGCGGCCCAGACCCGGGGAAGGGGAAGGAAGCCCUCGCCGCAAGCCGACGUCUGGGCCGGCACAAAACACGCUGCCACCAGUAACUUUCCCCCCGUGGCUGCGCGCAACUUUUUUGCCUGUUCGCCCAGCACGUUCUGUCCCGAGUUUGUGUCCCCUGGGUUUUCCUCCGCUUCCCUCACCUUCUGUCAGGCGGCGCGCGGAGGACCUGGGUUGGCGGGGGCGAGGGGGCGCCGGGGCCGCGGCGGCGGAAGAGAAAAAGGGGAAGGGGGAGAGGAGGUGGGGGCGGCGGCGGCGGUGCGGGAGGAGGAACUGGUCAAAGGGGACACAGACCGGCGAGCACCCGAAAAGGAAAGCGACGCCGCGGUUUGCUGCAGUCGGGAUAAAGUUCGCGCCCUUUCCUCGGGGUUUCUGCCUUUGA